UACGAAGGGGACUAGCGUUAAUCGGAAUUACUGGGCGUAAAGCGUGCGCAGGCGGUUAUGUAAGACAGGUGUGAAAUCCCCGGGCUUAACCUGGGAACUGCGCUUGUGACUGCAUAACUAGAGUACGGCAGAGGGGGGUGGAAUUCCUGGUGUAGCAGUGAAAUGCGUAGAGAUCAGGAGGAACAUCGAUGGCGAAGGCAGCCCCCUGGGCCUGUACUGACGCUCAUGCACGAAAGCGUGGGGAGCAAACAGG
rnacentral:rRNA from 1 species